GAUGAAGAACGUAGCGAAAUGCGAUAAGUAAUGCGAAUUGCAGAAUCCGUGAGUCAUCGAAUCUUUGAACGCACAUUGCGCCCGCCAGUAUUCUGGCGGGCAUGCCUGUUCGAGCGUCAUUUCAACCAUCAAGCCCCAGGCUUGUGUUGGGGACCUGCGGCUGCCGCAGGCCCUGAAAACCAGUGGCGGGCUCGCUAGUCACACCGAGCGUAGUAGCAUACACAUCGCUCAGGGCGUGCUGCGGGUUCCGGCCGUUAAACCCCUUUUUUACCCAAGGUUGACCUCGGAUCAGGUAGGAAGACCCGCUGAACUUAAGCAUAUCAAUAAGCGGAGGA
rnacentral:misc_RNA from 1 species